ACGAGAACAUAAUAAAGAAUUCAAGAUGAACAACUUGUACGAGGUCCGAAAGACCUAGUGUCUAACGAGAUUAGUACACAUGUAGGUUAUUGACACGUACGGACGCUCACUUCGAUAUCAUAAUACACGGAACGCAAACUUGUGAGUUCAUGUCCCUCCUUUCACUGAUUGCAAUGAAACAGGUCUUGAGCCGGUGAUUCACUAUG
rnacentral:lncRNA from 1 species